UACGGAGGGGGCUAGCGUUGUUCGGAAUUACUGGGCGUAAAGCGCACGUAGGCGGCUUUGUAAGUUAGAGGUGAAAGCCCGGGGCUCAACUCCGGAAUUGCCUUUAAGACUGCAUCGCUAGAAUUGUGGAGAGGUAAGUGGAAUUCCGAGUGUAGAGGUGAAAUUCGUAGAUAUUCGGAAGAACACCAGUGGCGAAGGCGACUUACUGGACACAUAUUGACUCUGAGGUGCGAAAGCGUGGGGAGCAAACAGC
rnacentral:rRNA from 1 species